CUGAAAACUGGCAUUUUGAGAAAUCCUCCAUUUAUAAAAGUUGCUGACAUAAUGCACUAUCGUCUUCCUAUAGAUUGUGAUGGUGUGUCAGGAGCUAAAAUCUCCAGAAAGCCACUCAUGAGGAUGAAACAAAACAAAAUACUAUUUGCAAAACGUGUUUGUAAAACAUAUUCACCAUUCAGCUUUCAAAGGCUAUUCCGUAAGCAGAGAAACGUGUACUUUAUUAGAGUGCCCUUGACUGUAAUCCUAAAGCCAAAUGGGUUGCCCGUCAGGUACCUGAACCAAAUGAAACGGAAACAGAGCCUGAAGACCACGGCUUUCAUUACAUCUACAGUAUCAAUCUCUAUCCAUCUUGCCAUCCAAGAAGGCCAAGAACAUUUUAAGGUGCUGGGAAUUUUUCAGUAUGUAAAGGAGAAAAGACCACAACCGUUUCAAUGUGUUUGCAAAAAAAGAAAUAAGAAGAGAUUCUGGAUAUGA
rnacentral:lncRNA from 1 species